GGAUAUUACGCCCUGUAAUACUACAGACAACAGGAAAAUCAACAAACCACGACCAUAAACCUUCUACGAACUUCUGUGAAACUGUCCUGUUUCUACCACUAAACAAAUGGAGUGCUUUAACCCUACUAAACUGUGUUCUCCCUGCACUUCUUCUAUCCUCAACCUUCAGGGUUCUUCAUCACUUGUUUGUAACAAAUUUUCUAAAAAUUCAGUUCAUCCUUGGUUGCUGUCCUCUCCACCUCCCAAACCAUUCUUUCAACUUGAUGAUAGACUGCAGUUUAGACAAAAAUCAGCUCAUAGAACUUACAGGGGCCCCAUAUUAGCGGAAGCUGGAAAGCAGGGCUGGGACUUGGGCAGGUUUUUGAAAACGUUGUAUUUCUUCAACGGACCGCCAUCUCCAACCAAGUUCUUCGAGUUUUUAAUUGAGAAACUAUCCAGUCCAUCACCCAGCGAACCCAAAAAGUCAAUGGAAAGUUCUGGUAUUGUCCUAGUUGUGGGAGCAACAGGUGGUGUUGGCAGAAGGGUAGUUGACGUCUUACAGAAGAAGGGACUGCCUGUCCGAGUAUUGGCCAGAAAUGAAGAAAAGGCAAGAAAGAUGCUAGGACCAGAUAUUGACUUGAUCAUUGGAGACAUUACUAAAGAGAGCACUUUGUUGCCUGAGUACUUCAAAGGAGUGAGGAAAGUUAUAAAUGCUGCUUCUGUCAUUGUUGGCCCAAAGGAAGGCGACACCCCAGAAAGGGCAAAAUAUAGUCAAGGAAUCAAGUUCUUCGAGCCAGAGAUUAAAGGCGAUUCACCUGAAAUGGUGGAGUUUGUUGGGAUGAGAAAUUUGAUUAAUGCUGUGAAGGGGAGUGUUGGCCUUCGAAAUGGGAAACUGCUAUUUGGAUGUGAAGACAAUGGUUUUAGAGAUCUCGCUUGGGGUGCUUUAGAUGAUGUUGUGAUGGGAGGAGUUAGUGAAAGCUCUUUUAUAAUCGAUACUACUGGAGGGGAAAAAGGUGGACCAGCUGGGCUAUUUAAAGGCGUUGUCUCCACUACAAACAAUGGUGGCUUCACUAGUAUCAGAACAAAGAAUUUUUCAGUACCUGAGGAUCUUUCUUCAUAUGAUGGUUUGGAGCUACGCCUUAAAGGUGAUGGACGUCGGUAUAAACUUAUUGUUCGCACUAGCCGUGAUUGGGACACUGUUGGCUAUACAGCAAGCUUUGACACCACAGAAGGUCAAUGGCAAUCAAUACGCCUGCCUUUUUCUUCUUUUGUCCCUGUAUUUCGAGCUCGAACUGUAUCAGAUGCUCCCCCUUUUGAUCCAACGAGCAUUGUCUCACUUCAGCUUAUGUUCAGCAAGUUUGAAUAUGAUGGGAAAUUGAAUCCAACUUUUGUAGAAGGCCCAUUUCAGCUUCCUGUAUCAAGCAUAAGGACAUUUAUAAAGGAUCCUGUAACUCCUAGGUUUGUACACGUGAGCUCUGCAGGAGUUACCAGACCAGAUCGGCCUGGUCUUGAUCUCAGCAAACAACCUCCUGCUGUCCGCUUGAACAAGGAACUAGAUUUUAUCCUAACAUUCAAGUUGAAGGGAGAAGAUUUGAUACGUGAAAGUGGUAUCCCAUAUGCAAUUGUCAGGCCUUGUGCUUUAACUGAGGAGCCUGCUGGAGCAGAUCUCAUUUUCGAUCAAGGAGACAAUAUAACAGGUAAAAUAUCAAGGGAAGAGAUUGCUCGGAUAUGCAUUGCAGCUUUGGAAAGCCCGUAUGCACUUGACAAGACAUUUGAGGUUAAAAGUGUGAUUCCAUUCAGUGAACCAUUCACAGUAGAUCAGGAAAACCCACCUCAGGAGAAGGACUACGACAUUUAUUUUAAAGAUUUGAAGGAUGGCAUCACUGGGAAAGAAUUGUUAGAACAAAGUCCUGUUCCUGUCUGAUGUGAAUGACAGGAAGUAUCCCUGUCCUGUUCCCUCAACUCUAACCUACCCAUCUGUGAUUGGAACCUGCAAUACGAAGAUCAUUGAUUUUCCAAUGGAUAACAAAGCAGGAGCUGCUUGAGAAAACAAUGACGUGCCCUAGCAAAAAAAAUAUAUACAUGAUGAGAAGUCGAAGCAUGUUGGUAUGAAUGCUGACAAAUUAUGACUCCUUGUACACACAUAGUUACUGAAAUGAGUUAUAGUAAUUUGCUAGACGUAAAUAUACUGAAUUUCCUUUGUUACAGCUCACAGUAUCAUAGUUAAAUUGCACUUCUUCACACAAUAUAUACUACAGCACUUAAUC